UUAAGUUAGAAAGGGCGCACGGUGAAUGCCUUGGCACUAGGAGCCGAUGAAGGACGGGACUAACACCGAUAUGCUUCGGGGAGCUGUAAGUGAGCUUUGAUCCGGAGAUUUCCGAAUGGGGAAACCCACUGUUCGUAAUGGAGCAGUAUCUUUAUCUGAAUACAUAGGAUAUUGAAGGCAGACCCGGGGAACUGAAACAUCUAAGUACCCGGAGGAAGAGAAAGCAAAUGCGAUUUCCUGAGUAGCGGCGAGCGAAACGGAAUUAGCCCAAACCAAGAGGCUUGCCUCUUGGGGUUGUAGGACACUCUAUACGGAGUUACAAAGGAACGAAGUAAAUGAAGCGACCUGGAAAGGUCCGUCGAAGAAGGUAACAACCCUGUAGUUGAAACUUCGUUCCCUCUUGAGUGGAUCCUGAGUACGGCGGAACACGUGAAAUUCCGUCGGAAGCUGGGAGGACCAUCUCCCAAGGCUAAAUACUACCUAGUGACCGAUAGUGAACCAGUACCGUGAGGGAAAGGUGAAAAGCACCCCGGAAGGGGAGUGAAAGAGAUCCUGAAACCGUGUGCCUACAAGUAGUCAGAGCCCGUUAACGGGUGAUGGCGUGCCUUUUGUAGAAUGAACCGGCGAGUUACGAUCCCAUGCAAGGUUAAGCUGAUAAGGCGGAGCCGUAGCGAAAGCGAGUCUGAAUAGGGCGUUUAGUAUGUGGUUGUAGACCCGAAACCAGGUGAUCUACCCAUGUCCAGGGUGAAGUUCAGGUAACACUGAAUGGAGGCCCGAACCCACGCACGUUGAAAAGUGCGGGGAUGAGGUGUGGGUAGCGGAGAAAUUCCAAUCGAACCUGGAGAUAGCUGGUUCUCUCCGAAAUAGCUUUAGGGCUAGCCUCAUGUUGUGAGAGUCUUGGAGGUAGAGCACUGAUUGGACUAGGGGCCCCCAACGGGUUACCGAAUUCAGUCAAACUCCGAAUGCCAAAGACUUAUCCAUGGGAGUCAGACUGCGAGUGAUAAGAUCCGUAGUCAAAAGGGAAACAGCCCAGACCACCAGCUAAGGUCCCCAAGUAUACGUUAAGUGGAAAAGGAUGUGGAGUUGCUUAGACAACCAGGAUGUUGGCUUAGAAGCAGCCACCAUUUAAAGAGUGCGUAAUAGCUCACUGGUCGAGUGACUCUGCGCCGAAAAUGUACCGGGGCUAAACGUAUCACCGAAGCUGUGGAUUGACAUCUUUGAUGUCAGUGGUAGGAGAGCGUUCUAAGUGCUGUGAAGUCAGACCGGAAGGACUGGUGGAGCGCUUAGAAGUGAGAAUGCCGGUAUGAGUAGCGAAAGACAAGUGAGAAUCUUGUCCACCGAAUGCCUAAGGUUUCCUGAGGAAGGCUCGUCCGCUCAGGGUUAGUCGGGACCUAAGCCGAGGCUGAAAAGCGUAGGCGAUGGCCAACAGGUUGAUAUUCCUGUACCACCUCCCCGCCGUUUGAGUAAUGGGGGGACGCAGUAGGAUAGGGUAAGCGCGCUGCUGGAUAUGCGCGUUCAAGCAGUUAGGCUGAUGAGUAGGCAAAUCCGCUCAUCAUAAAGGCUGAGCUGUGAUGACGAGGGAAUUAUAGUACCGAAGUUCCUGAUUCCACACUGCCAAGAAAAGCCUCUAGCGAGGCGGGAGGUGCCCGUACCGCAAACCGACACAGGUAGGCGAGGAGAGAAUCCUAAGGUGAUCGAGAGAACUCUCGUUAAGGAACUCGGCAAAAUGACCCCGUAACUUCGGGAGAAGGGGUGCUCUGGUAGGGUGUAUAGCCCGAGAGAGCCGCAGUGAAUAGGCCCAGGCGACUGUUUAGCAAAAACACAGGUCUCUGCGAAGCCGCAAGGCGAAGUAUAGGGGCUGACGCCUGCCCGGUGCUGGAAGGUUAAGAGGAGGGGUUAUCCUUCGGGAGAAGCUCUGAAUCGAAGCCCCAGUAAACGGCGGCCGUAACUAUAACGGUCCUAAGGUAGCGAAAUUCCUUGUCGGGUAAGUUCCGACCCGCACGAAAGGCGUAACGAUCUGGGCACUGUCUCAACGAGAGACUCGGUGAAAUUAUAGUACCUGUGAAGAUGCAGGUUACCCGCGACAGGACGGAAAGACCCCGUGGAGCUUUACUGUAGCCUGAUAUUGAAUUUUGGUACAGCUUGUACAGGAUAGGUAGGAGCCUGAGAAGCCGGAGCGCUAGCUUCGGUGGAGGCGUCGGUGGGAUACUACCCUGGCUGUAUUGAAAUUCUAACCCGCGGCCCUGAUCGGGCCGGGAGACAGUGUCAGGUGGGCAGUUUGACUGGGGCGGUCGCCUCCUAAAAUGUAACGGAGGCGCCCAAAGGUUCCCUCAGAAUGGUUGGAAAUCAUUCGUAGAGUGUAAAGGCACAAGGGAGCUUGACUGCGAGACCUACAAGUCGAGCAGGGACGAAAGUCGGGCUUAGUGAUCCGGUGGUUCCGCAUGGAAGGGCCAUCGCUCAACGGAUAAAAGCUACCCCGGGGAUAACAGGCUUAUCUCCCCCAAGAGUCCACAUCGACGGGGAGGUUUGGCACCUCGAUGUCGGCUCAUCGCAUCCUGGGGCUGUAGUCGGUCCCAAGGGUUGGGCUGUUCGCCCAUUAAAGCGGUACGCGAGCUGGGUUCAGAACGUCGUGAGACAGUUCGGUCCCUAUCCGUCGUGGGCGUAGGAAAUUUGAGAGGAGCUGUCCUUAGUACGAGAGGACCGGGAUGGACACACCGCUGGUGUACCAGUUGUCUUGCCAAAGGCAUCGCUGGGUAGCUAUGUGUGGACGGGAUAAGUGCUGAAAGCAUCUAAGCAUGAAGCCCCCCUCAAGAUGAGAUUUCCCAUAGCGCAAGCUAGUAAGAUCCCUGAAAGAUGAUCAGGUUGAUAGGUCAGAGGUGGAAGCGUGGCGACAUGUGUAGCUGACUGAUACUAAUCGAUCGAGGACUUAACCAA
rnacentral:rRNA from 2 species